GUUCCUGUUGGAGGAAGACAAAAAGGAAAACUGGAUUUAGUCGGUUGUAAUAUCAUACACCACACGUCCUCAACUAGUCUAAAUGAUGUCGUCCUAUUGGAAUCUAAGAAUCGUCCGCAAUACACACUGUGGGAAUAAUCAAGAGUGAUUCAAGCGAAACGAACCCAUCUCGUUUGUCUCGACUGAAAAAAAAGCCUUUAAUAAUAAAUGAAUUUCGUUUCAGGCUGUCAUUUUGUAAGAGGAAAAUGGUUCCGAUUCCAUUUUCCGCCACGAUGAAGACAGGAAACUCUUUUUUCCUCAUACAGAACGAAAGAAGGAAGGCCAACCUAACUUACGAAUGUAUGGACAGACAGAUGCUAUCUUCACAACUAGGAAUACACAAGGGUCUCUCGUCAAACAGCGACACCUUUUGUUUGUGCUGUAAGAAUGUCAAGGUUUGUUGUUUUUCUUUCAUGUCAUUAAGUAGACGGAAAGAACGAAGAGGGAAGGCACAAAUCCCCCUCUGGGUCGCAUCACCUUAUAAUGCGCAAAAGAAUGCAAUUAUGGCCGACAUCCAAGGUCGGAAACUGGUUCCUUCUUCCCAUAUUUCGUAUGCUUGGUAAUUUAUAGUUAUCGAUCUUUUUUUUGUCGGAAUUGAUGUAUCAUUGUACUGGAACUGCCAUUUAUGGUUUCACCCAUAAACAAAUCAAAUAAAAACCCUAGUGGGGUAGCGUCUACGCCGAAUAACAGUCCAACUAGUCUGUUAUAUCGCGGAGCCAGUUUUGCAGCUAAAUGUCGACACGUCUUUCAGAAUUCUUGGUGUACGUGGAACAAGACACGGUGAAAAAUUCAUGAAAUAUUUUCAUCUGUCUUAAUGAUUAUUAAUUUUAUAAGAUAGCAGCAUGACAGCGAUUUUCUCGGGCAAAUGUUUGGAUAGCGACAGCAGUCGGCCAUUGUCCUUGACCAGUUUUGGUUGUGUUCCUCCCUCUUAUUCUUUAAUUACACAUUUGGGAAAACAUUUCGUACGUCCGGAACGCGGAGAACGCAAGAAAACUACUCUCAAAACAUUCGUCCUUCGGUAUUUUUAUGAGCAAAUCACUCUUCGUAAAACAAGGAGGAGUGUAAAGGGAAGGAAAACGUUUUCAGGACGACAGGACAUGGGACUAAUAUGGCCGUCUUGGUCGCGCGGAAGUGUCACGUAACCUUCGUCUGACGGCCGGGUGUCAAGUUUCAUCGUGACCUGAAUAUUCUUUAUGGGAAUGUUUCGAGAAAAAAACAAGAAUGAAAGCAACAAGAGAAAUGCGGUAAUGAGCAGGGAAACCAAGCCCAACGUUAGCAGACGACGUUACAGAAAAUCUAUAAUUAGUAUCCGGUUCAGCGAGAGCACGAGGUUCGACGAACGUGAAAGAUGAAUAAAUCCCUAAAUAUUCUACAGAAAAUAUAUACAAUUUCACUCACCAAACAAAAAAAAAAAAUUUCAAAAUAUGCAGCUGAAUAAACACACACACACACAGGCGCCAAGGUCUGCUGCUGGUGCCUGUGGCUUUUUCCCGAAAAGAGAAAAUGUCUGAAAUACGAGAUACUUGGAGAGUUCAUGGAGUGUGUGCAUCGAUUAAGAUUAGUAGAAGUAGAAAAGAAGAAGAAAAAAAUAAGUUUUUUGGACAGCCGCCAACGGUCUAGUUUCACUCCACGAGACGUUGCCGGCCAAGAAAGUUCCGAAUGCCGGCUAUUUUAACCAUGGCCACAAGUUACGUGUCUUACCACUACUACUGCUAGAACGUACUUCUUGGAUGCUUGUCACGUGAUAACGCAUCUAAAGCUCAGUCUUUUACGCGCUACAUGAUUCACGCUUCUCACUGCAAUAGAGGGGGGAAGAAAAAGGGAUAUAAGCACAAGCGAGGCGUGGUCGUCGCCAGCGGUAGCGAUCAAUAGAAUCGACCCUCGUAUGCGUGCAGUGUGCGCUCGUGGACGAGAACACAUUUACGUGUAACGUGCUGCAGAGACACAAGUCAACCCACGACUGCUUAUACUGUCAACCCGAAGAAAAUAUAAUUGAAUGUCACAAAUGAAAAGACACGUACCGAAAAGGAAUCCUUCGACGUUACUCCACCAAUAAG